GUCACAAUGUGUUUAUCUGGCUGUGUGUAUUUCUAAAUGUGUCUGUCAUUGUCUAUCUGUGUAUGUGCCUGAGAGUGCGUCUGACAGUGAGUACCCUUGUAUGUGAAUGUAUGUUUCUGUGAGCAUGUGUAUGUUUGUGUCUAGGACCGUAUGUGUGUGUGGUAGCUGCUUGCGGUAUUUUUUGAAUAUGGACUGUGGCCUUUGUGCAUUUUGUCUGUGGGGAAUGGUGACAGGGUGUGUGGAGGGAGGUGACAGGGUGUUGAAAGGGGAGACUGUGUGUGUGAGUGGAGGGGAUGACGUGAAAGAGAGUGGAGGGGGCUGACAGAGUGUGGAGAGGUGUGACAGAGUGUGGAAGGGGGUGACAGAUUGUGGAAGGGAUUAACAGAGUGUGAAAGGGGGUGACAGGUCGCUGAGGGAGGGAUGGGGUGACAGAGUUAGGGGGUGGCAGAGUGAAGGGUGGGCAGGUGGCUGAGGGAGGGUAGGAGGGGGUGACAGGGGGCUUUGCGAUGGGGUGACAGAGUGAGGGAAGGUGGGGUGACAGGGGACAGAGUGAGGGAAGGUGGGGGUGACAGGGGACAGAGUGAGGGAAGGAGGUGGUGACAGGUGUUAGAAUUAGGGUAAAGGGGGUGACAGGUGGCAGAGUGAGGGCCACAGUGAGG